GAGGGAAUGCAGAGAUCUCUGAACAGGCUACCUAGAAAAUUCACUGUUGUGCACUGGAAACUGGAGAAAAGAAUGCCUGAUUCAUCACUGUGCUGCUGCUGGGCUGAGGGCAAUAUAACACCAUGGAAAUCAGCUGGGAUGAAGCUGGGAUGAAGCUACAAUAGAUCAACACAGAGAACAAGCAUUCACACCAUUGUAUUUACACUCGAUGCCCUUGUGCAUUGAAAGCAUUCCUUGCACUGCAAAGCCACAGCAUCCCACUUGUUAUUUCCUGGCCUCCCUUCUGUGACCUAUGACCGAUGAUGACCUUUAGCUGGAGAAUGUGACAUUUUGUUCUCCUCUGGCUGACAUGUGAUGCCCUCAUUAUUCAAAGGGGAAAUAUAUACACAUACAUAUAACCUGAAUUUGCUGAGCGUGUCCUACUUCAACCUGAGGAUAAGUUUAUACGACACAGUACGUAGACAUACCUGUAUUACUGGAGACAUCUCAUGCGUCUUAGCUGAGUGUUAUCCCAGAAAUAUCAGGAGAGCAUGCUGAUUCUCACAGGAUCCUUCAGCACUUCCAGAACUGCUGAGAACCUGCACCAUGCCCACCAGCUGGAACAGUAGAGGAAAAAAUCCUCAUCAUUUAGCUCAAAACUGAAUGUGCC